rnacentral:lncRNA from 1 species
GCCUCCUGGAGGUCCUGGCCGUCUCCCUACAAAUAGAUGAUGACCAGGGUCCAUGCUUGCAGUGGAGGUACCUUCUGUGUUCUAGCCUUGGUGAUCUUAGCAACUUUAAGCCUGUCAACAAUAUCUAAAUCUAAGAAUAUAGCAGUGUGGGAAGAUGGUCAUGGACCUUUAGAUGUCUCAGGAACUGAAAGUUCAGACGGAAACGUCUCACACCAUCCUGAUCCUGAUGAACUCAACGGCUGCGAUGAAUUCACCUGCUGCACCCAUUCCUUCCCAGCAAAUAGGAGAGAAAUUAAUUGCAGCUGUUAAGAACAUGACUGUUCCAGAAAAGUCUGUCCCCCCUUUUGGGAAAGUUUUGUUCAGAAUAGUAGUGACUCUUUUAGAAAGAUCAUGGACAAGUUCCAACAAGUUGAGCAAACUUAUCGAGAGUUAACGAGAAGGAAAAAGAGAAAUUAAUAUUGAGCAAGAAAUGAGAGAAAUUAUAGAAUGGUUACAAAAGUUUCCAUAUUAUCUUGAGGGGCCACAAACACAGAGUUUAAACUUUAUUAAAAUAAAGGUAAAUGUUGAAUGCAUACCUGGUGCCCACAGGUCUAGCAGUAUAACUGCAGUUUUCUAAACCAUUGUCUGCGGUUGAGAAUUGUUUCCUAGACUGUACGUUCAGCUUUCCUCUUUGAAAGGGACAUUUGGUGGGGUGAUGAAUAAGAGCUGGAUGAUUGACAAUUAUGAUGUACCUGUUCUAACUGCUUAAAUCUGUGCCAAGAAGUAAAGCUUUUAGCAGCAGCA